GUGCUCACUUCGGCAGCACAUAUACUCAAAUUGGAACGAUAUAGAGACGAUUAGCAUGGCUCCUGUGCAAAGAUGACACGCAAAUUCAUGAAGCGUUCCAUAUUUAA